rnacentral:misc_RNA from 1 species
AGAACCUGAUUUGGAGCCAAAGCUUUGAUACCAAAUUUGAUGUGAAUCUUCAACAACCAAUAAAAAACCCACAAUCUUCAACAGCCAAAAAACCAAAGAAAAUAAAAACGGAUGGUGAAGAGAUCCUUAACUAGCCAAAAACCAAAGAAAACAAAAUGGAUGGGAAGGAGAUCCUCAGCCAAACGAAGAAAAAUAAAUGGAUGGAGAGGAGAUCCUCUGCCAACCAAAAUAUAAAUAAUGAUAAUAAAACACUCAAGUAA